GGAAUAUUGCACCAUGGGCGCAAGCCUGAUGCAGCGACGCCGCGUGAGGGAUGACGGCUUCGGGUGUAAACCUCUUCAGUAGGGAGAAGCGAAAGUGACGGUACUGCAGAAGAAGCGCCGGCUAACUACGUGCCAGCAGCCGCGGUAAUACGUAGGGCGCAAGCGUAUCCGGAAUUAUUGGGCGUAAAGAGCUCGUAGGCGGUUUGUCGCGUCUGCCGUGAAAGUCCGGGGCUCAACUCCGGAUCUGCGGUGGGUACGGGCAGACUAGAGUGAUGUAGGGGAGACUGGAAUUCCUGGUGUAGCGGUGAAAUGCGCAGAUAUCAGGAGGAACACCGAUGGCGAAGGCAGGUCUCUGGGCAUUAACUGACGCUGAGGAGCGAAAGCAUGGGGAGCGAACAGGAUUAGAUACCCUGGUAGUCCAUGCCGUAAACGUUGGGCACUAGGUGUGGGGGACAUUCCACGUUUUCCGCGCCGUAGCUAACGCAUUAAGUGCCCCGCCUGGGGAGUACGGCCGCAAGGCUAAAACUCAAAGGAAUUGACGGGGGCCCGCACAAGCAGCGGAGCAUGUGGUUUAAUUCGACGCAACGCGAAGAACCUUACCUGGGCUUGACAUGUUCCUGACAGGUGUGGAAACACACCCUCCCUUCGGGGCAGGAUCACAGGUGGUGCAUGGCUGUCGUCAGCUCGUGUCGUGAGAUGUUGGGUUAAGCCCCGCAACGAGCGCAACCCCUGUCGCAUGUUGCCAGCAUUUAGUUGGGGACUCAUGCGAGACUGCCGGUGACAAACCGGAGGAAGGUGGGGAUGACGUCAAGUCAUCAUGCCCCUUAUGUCCAGGGCUACACACGUGCUACAUUGGCCGGUACAAAGGGCUGCGAUACCGCGAGGUGGAGCGAAUCCCAUAAAGCCGGUCUCGGUUCGGAUUGGAGGCUGAAACUCGCCUCCAUGAAGGCGGAGUUGCUAGUAAUCGUGGAUCAGCAAUGCCGCGGUGAAUACGUUCCCGGG
rnacentral:rRNA from 1 species